rnacentral:rRNA from 1 species
GAUGAACGCUGGCGGCGUGCCUAACACAUGCAAGUCGAACGGAGAUUACGGACGGAAGUUUUCGGAUGGAAGCCUGUAAUUCUUAGUGGCGGACGGGUGAGUAACGCGUGGUCAACCUGCCCUAUACAGGGGGAUAGCAGCUGGAAACGGCUGGUAAGACCGCAUAAGUCGGUUAAAUCGCAUGAUUUGAUCUGGAAAUGAGCAAUCAGGUAUAGGAUGGGCCCUCGUCCGAUUAGCCAGUUGGCAGGGUAAAAGCCUACCAAAGCGACGAUCGGUAGCCGGACUGAGAGGUCGGACGGCCACAUUGGGACUGAGACACGGCCCAAACUCCUACGGGAGGCAGCAGUGGGGGAUAUUGCACAAUGGAGGAAACUCUGAUGCAGCGACGCCGCGUGAGUGAAGAAGUAUUUCGGUAUGUAAAGCUCUAUCAGCAGGGAAGAUGAUGACGGUACCUGAAUAAGAAGCCCCGGCUAACUACGUG